UGGGGAAUAUUGGACAAUGGGCGAAAGCCUGAUCCAGCCAUGCCGCGUGUGUGAAGAAGGUCUUCGGAUUGUAAAGCACUUUAAGUUGGGAGGAAGGGCAGUAAGUUAAUACCUUGCUGUUUUGACGUUACCAACAGAAUAAGCACCGGCUAACUUCGUGCCAGCAGCCGCGGUAAUACGUAGGUGGCAAGCGUUGUCCGGAAUUAUUGGGCGUAAAGCGCGCGCAGGCGGAUUGGUCAGUCUGUCUUAAAAGUUCGGGGCUUAACCCCGUGAUGGGAUGGAAACUGCCAAUCUAGAGUAUCGGAGAGGAAAGUGGAAUUCCUAGUGUAGCGGUGAAAUGCGUAGAUAUUAGGAAGAACACCAGUGGCGAAGGCGACUUUCUGGACGAAAACUGACGCUGAGGCGCGAAAGCCAGGGGAGCGAACGGGAUUAGAUACCCCGGUAGUCCUGGCCGUAAACGAUGGGUACUAGGUGUAGGAGGUAUCGACCCCUUCUGUGCCGGAGUUAACGCAAUAAGUACCCCGCCUGGGGAGUACGACCGCAAGGUUG
rnacentral:rRNA from 1 species